rnacentral:rRNA from 1 species
ACGCUCGACACCUACUGGAGGCAGCAGUGGGGAAUAUUGCACAAUGGGGGAAACCCUGAUGCAGCGACGCCGCGUGAAGGAAGAAGUAUUUCGGUAUGUAAACUUCUAUCAGCAGGGAAGAAAAUGACGGUACCUGACUAAGAAGCCCCGGCUAACUACGUGCCAGUAGCCGCGGUAAUCUGAGCGGGCUGGCAAGGC